rnacentral:rRNA from 1 species
GACGAACCGUGCAAACGUUGUUCGGAAUCACUGGGCUUAAAGGGCGCGUAGGCGGCUUGCCAAGUCGGGGGUGAAAUCUUUCGGCUUAACCGGAAAAGUGGCUUCGAUACUGGCAGGCUUGAGGAAGGUAGGGGCAGAUGGAACUUCCAGUGGAGCGGUGAAAUGUGUUGAUAUUGGAAGGAACGCCGGUGGCGAAAGCGAUUUGCUGGAUCUUCUCUGACGCUGAGGCGCGAAAGCUAGGGGAGCAAACGGG